UUUGUAAUUAGGAAAACAACAAAGAUUAAAACCAAGAGAAAAAAAACAAAUUUAUUUUAGGUGGCAGGCAGUCAGGCCUUGCCUGGCCAUAUCACUUAUCAGAUGUGUGGUUGUGCAACCUGACUACCAGGUUUCAACUCCUGAGAUAUUGCUGUUAAACUCAGGUACAAAAUCUUUCCCACAAGCCCAGCCUGAGGGCUCAUCCUUAUUCACUGCAGUUUCUCUUGAUUUCUUUUUGACCCUCUACUGCCACUGCUGAUCUCUGGCCAUCCUCUUCCUGUCUCCUUGUCCAGCUGGGCCAGAUAAACAGACUUCUGGCAUUUUCAUGCAUGAUUCAUAACUUUAUGUAAAUGCUCUGGCAAGCUGGAUGAAUGGACAUGAUCCAAUAAAGAUAUUGAGCCUGAGAAUAAAACGCAGUAAAAGAGUGUUGAGAGCACAGAACUCCUCUGAAGUGGAAGGAUCCUUCUCACAGGAUGAAACCAUGUCUCACAUACUCCAGUAUUCUCAAAAGCCUAAUAUAGAACUGAGCAUGUACCAGAGCCUCAAUAUAUCUUUAUUUUUGUAAAUUAAAAAUUUAUACCGAUAUAUAAUGCAUAAGUGUGCC
rnacentral:lncRNA from 1 species